rnacentral:hammerhead_ribozyme from 1 species
ACUCAGCUGACGAGUCCUAAAUAGGACGAAACGCGAUUCAAAUUGAAU